rnacentral:lncRNA from 1 species
GUCAGGGUUGUUCCCCGUCAGAAGGAUGGCUUGACCUCAAGUCUUUGCAUUCAUCUGUUAGCCAGGGGGUAGGAGAGAAGGCUGGUGAAGCCCAGGCUUGUCCCUUCCCACAACGAGUUGAAGAGACACAUCACCUCUGCUUAGGUGGAGUCCCUCGUUCAAGUCUUUGUCACAGGACCUGAGUUGACAGGACGGCCCCGGAAAACCACUUGAUUGAGACCUGGAGAAGGAAUUGUGACCAAGGGAGUCUACGUGUCAUCACGUCUGAGCUGAAGAGAGAUGCUGCUGACGACUGGCCACUGACAAUCAUGGCAGGGAUUUGAUGAAACCUCCUCAUGGACGGACCCCUCUGUAUGUGGUGGAACGAAGGAGGGGUUUUGAAGCUAGACCAGGUUAAGCUCUCAGCAAGACUGUAUAGUGGCUGUGUGACCAUGAACAAGGUGUUCCAUACCCAGCUUCUCCAUGGCUUCAUGUGUGAAGCAGAGAGGCCCAACGGACUCCUGUACCUGAGACAAAACUAAGCUUCAACCACAGCAUGUACCAUGGGCGGGCCCUGGAGCACCUGCUUCACAUUUGGUGGAAGACACAGGACCAGAGUUUGUAAAGCACAGAGGCCCAGGAGAUGGGUUUGGAGCCCAGGCCUCAUGGCUGACUGGGCCUGCUCCCCUCUGCAGGCCUACAUCCCUCCAGGAUAGGAGCAGGAUGCUCAGUCCUGGCUGUGUUACAGGUUUGUGGUUAUGUGUGCCAGCCCCACACUUGCUGCUCGAGAGCCUCUGCAUAGCAGAUGUGCUGAUUCUUGUUUCCUCAGACUGUGUUUCUUCCACACCCACAUCCCAGAAUAUUUUCCUGGGUUAAUAUAUCUGGCUAAGAAGGUUUGUGGUGAAAGACACCAAACAGGAAAUGAAAUGGCUGUCAUAGCCACUAUGUACAAGUCUUGUUUUUAACGGCUUUCUCCUGUGUAGCCCGCCUUCUCUGCCUGGCUUGGUAGUAAUUGCAGGGGUAAAUGGAAGGGAAAGGGAAAGGGGACAUUUUUAGAAGGGAACAUUUUUCCUCAAGUUCAAAGUUCACUGAAGGUCAAAGUUUAAAAUUAAGCCACACUGAUGAUGCUAGAAGGGUCUUUCCCUCACAGAACCUCUGUGUACAUGAUUCCUGCUGCCCACAGUGUACCCCCUGCCCCAUUUCUGAAAUAGU